UACGUAGGGGGCAAGCGUUGUCCGGAUUUAUUGGGCGUAAAGAGCGUGUAGGCGGCCAUACAGGUCCGUUGUGAAAACUGGAGGCUUAACCUCCAGACGUCGAUGGAAACCGUAUGGCUAGAGUCCGGAAGAGGAGAGUGGAAUUCCUGGUGUAGCGGUGAAAUGCGCAGAUAUCAGGAAGAACACCCGUGGCGAAGGCGGCUCUCUGGGACGGUACUGACGCUGAGGCACGAAAGCGUGGGGAGCAAACAGG
rnacentral:rRNA from 1 species